AGCUCGUUAGCUUAGUUGGAAAAUCACUUGUCUAGCAUAUAAAGGUCGAGAAUUCAAAUCUCUCCUGAGCUG
rnacentral:tRNA from 1 species